UAGGGAAUCUUCCGCAAUGGACGAAAGUCUGACGGAGCAACGCCGCGUGAGCGAAGAAGGCCUUCGGGUCGUAAAGCUCUGUUGUUAGGGAAGAACAAGUAUCGGAGUAACUGCCGGUACCUUGACGGUACCUAACCAGAAAGCCACGGCUAACUACGUGCCAGCAGCCGCGGUAAUACGUAGGUGGCAAGCGUUGUCCGGAAUUAUUGGGCGUAAAGCGCGCGCAGGCGGUCCUUUAAGUCUGAUGUGAAAGCCCACGGCUCAACCGUGGAGGGUCAUUGGAAACUGGGGGACUUGAGUGCAGAAGAGGAGAGUGGAAUUCCACGUGUAGCGGUGAAAUGCGUAGAGAUGUGGAGGAACACCAGUGGCGAAGGCGACUCUCUGGUCUGUAACUGACGCUGAGGCGCGAAAGCGUGGGGAGCAAACAGGAUUAGAUACCCUGGUAGUCCACGCCGUAAACGAUGAGUGCUAAGUGUUAGAGGGUUU
rnacentral:rRNA from 1 species